GGAGGUGUGGCAGAGUGGUCGAAUGCACUGGUCUUGAAAACCAGCGUACCGCAAGGUACCGGGGGUUCGAAUCCCUCCGCCUCCG
rnacentral:tRNA from 1 species